rnacentral:lncRNA from 1 species
CUAGACACACGGCAGUGUGUCCGCCAAGUUCGAGCAAAAAAAGCGACACACCGGCCGUGGGUUAUAUUACACGAACCAUUUCGGGCCAAAUUCGACCCCCCUAUAACUCAAAACCUAUUUUAUUUACGCACAUCAAAUUUCUAGUAUCUGUUGAGACCCCCUCACUUAUCUAAAAUACAAAAUUUCAUUAAUAUACCUAUUGUAGGUCUUGAGAUAUUGACGUCAGAAAAUCGCUAUUUUUACUAUACACUCACUGACUGACUGACUCACUCAUCAAAAACCUAGACCACUUCCAAUGGUCGUAUUGACUUGAAAUUUGGCAUGGAGGUAGGUCUUUAUGUCAAGGUAAAGGGAAAAAUCUGAAAAUGGCCAAGUGUGAGUCGGUUUCAAAAUAA